UUCAGGAGAGUCUUGGGUGUCAGGCUCAUAACCUGAAGGCGCAGGUUCAAAUCCUGCCCCCGCAA
rfam:Rhizobium sp. Root482 contig_3, whole genome shotgun sequence.